rnacentral:rRNA from 1 species
AUCUUCGGAUCUAGUGGCGCACGGGUGAGUAAUACAUGGAAAUCUACCUCGUAGUGGGGGAUAACCUCUGGAAACAGAAGCUAAUACCGCAUACACCAUAUUGGAAAAGCUACGGCGCUAUGAGAUGAGUCCAUGUCCAAUUAGCUAGUUGGUAGGGUAAAGGCCUACCAAGGCGACGAUUGGUAGCUGGUCUGAGAGGACGAUCAGCCACACUGGAACUGAGACACGGUCCAGACUCC